CCUACGGGUGGCACCAGUGGGGAAUAUUGCACAAUGGGCGCAAGCCUGAUGCAGCCAUGCCGCGUGUGAAGAAGGCCUUCGGGUUGUAAAGCACUUUCAGCGAGGAGGAAGGUGGUGAGCUUAAUACGCUCAUCAAUUGACGUUACUCGCAGAAGAAGCACCGGCUAACUCCGUGCAGCAGCCGCGGUAAUACGGAGGGUGCAAGCGUUAAUCGGAAUUACUGGGCGUAAAGCGCACGCAGGCGGUUUGUUAAGUCAGAUGUGAAAUCCCCGGGCUCAACCUGGGGACUGCAUUUGAAACUGGCAAGCUAGAGUCUCGUAGAGGGGGUAGAAUUCCAGGUGUAGCGGUGAAAUGCGUAGAGAUCUGGAGGAAUACCGGUGGCGAAGGCGGCCCCCUGGACGAAGACUGACGCUCAGGUGCGAAAGCGUGGGGAGCAAACAGGAUUAGAUACCCGUGUAGUC
rnacentral:rRNA from 1 species